GACGAGUCUCACGAACGUUAUUCGGAAUUACUGGGCUUAAAGGGUGCGUAGGCGGUGGAGUAAGUCGGAUGUGAAAUACCAUAGCCUAACUAUGGAACUGCACUCGAUACUACUUUGCUAGAGUAAGACAGAGGUGAGUGGAACUGAGGGUGGAGCGGUGAAAUGCGUUGAGAUGUGGAGGAACACCAGUGGCGAAGGCGACUCUUUGGCCUGUAACUGACGCUGAGGCGCGAAAGCGUGGGGAGCAAACAGG
rnacentral:rRNA from 1 species